CCCGAGUCCCUAGCGCUGUGAGGCAGCAGUGCUAACCACUGAGCCACCGUACCGUUCUCCUUUAACAUUGUACCUGGCCAACUGUUUCUAUGUAUUAUCUCUUUAAAUUAUAUUUGCAGUUGGAUGUAUGUAAUGUUUAAAUGGAACAAGGUCUGUAUGGUACCUUCUAAGAUGCCGCAUGAUUUCCCUUGCAGCUUAGUGAGAAUACUGAUCAUUGGUCCAUGUUUUUGUCCUCACCCCCUCAAUCUACAUAUUGUGUUUCUGUUAGGAGCCAUUAGAUCUUGCUCAGGUAGAGGAGCGUUGGCACAGAGUUUCCACUGCCACGCAAACGGGUGGUCAACAAGGCAAGCAUAGAUUGUUAUUGAACCUGGUAUGUUUAUGUUUGGCAUGAACAUAGAAAAUAACUAAUAUAAAAAGAUUUACUGAGCUAUUCAACUUGUAGUACAAAAGUUACAACUCUGCCUCUGUCACAAGUUAGGAGUGCAAUAGAAUACUCUCUAUUUGUCUGGAUGAAUAACUCCAAGAACAUGUCAGGAAGGAGAGACCACAUCCUGAGUGAGACAUAGCCCGGGAUUAAUUAAAGCCCAGGAUUGAGACACAGCACAAAACGAGAGACUUCACAGGAAAAACGUUAAGUUCAUUGGUGGCAGAUGAGGGGUGGCACAGUGGCUCUGUGGUUGGCACUGCAGCCAGGGAUCCUGGUUCGAUUCUAGCCUCGGGCAACUAUCUAUGUGGAGUUUGCACAUUCUCCCUGUGUCUGCAUGGGUUUGCUCCG